GACGAACGCUGGCGGCGUGCUUAACACAUGCAAGUCGAACGGAAAGGCCCUGCUUUUGUGGGGUGCUCGAGUGGCGAACGGGUGAGUAACACGUGAGUAACCUGCCCUUGACUUUGGGAUAACUUCAGGAAACUGGGGCUAAUACCGGAUAGGAGCUCCUGCUGCAUGGUGUGGGUUGGAAAGUUUCGGCGGUUGGGGAUGGACUCGCGGCUUAUCAGCUUGUUUGUGGGGUAGUGGCUUACCAAGGCUUUGACGGGUAGCCGGCCUGAGAGGGUGACCGGCCACAUUGGGACUGAGAUACGGACCAGACUCCUACGGGACGCAGCAGUGGGGAAUAUUGCACAAUGGGCGGAAGCCUGAUGCAGCAACGCCGCGUGCGGGAUGACGGCCUUCGGGUUGUAAACCGCUUUCGCCUGUGACGAAGCGUGAGUGACGGUAAUGGGUAAAGAAGCACCGGCUAACUACGUG
rnacentral:rRNA from 1 species